AUUGGAUUACUUCUGAUAUUGUAUCACUAGAGAACUAAUACCUUACUAUGGCUGAAAAACUUACCUCAAACACCCAUGGCCAAAAUGGUGCACAACACGCCAAGGGCGGGUCUACCUCAGGCGAGGGGUCGUCAGUUAAACACCCUUUAUUGGAAAAUCACACUAAAGUGAAAUUCAUGGCUUCGUCACUGCAAAACGCGGCCCAAGUGGCAGUGGUCUUGGUACCAUUUCCGGCACAAGGUCAUCUCAAUCAACUCCUCCAUCUCUCUCGACUCGUUUCCUCAUACAAUAUUCCUGUCCAUUAUGUUGGAACCAUUGCUCACAUUCAACAAGCGAAAAUUCGGGCUCAUGGUUUUGAUACUCUCACCACAACAAACAUUCAUUUCCAUGAAUUUCAAACACCUUCUUUUGAAACUCCCCUUCCAAAUCCUAACGCUUCUACCAAAUUCCCAAACCAGCAAUUGCCUUCUUUCUACGCCACGUUCCAUCUCCGCGAGCCAGUUUGCUCUCUAGCACGCGAACUUUUGAGCAAGAAUCUUAAGAAAGUGGUUGUUAUUUAUGAUAAUUUGAUGAAUUGGGUGGUUCAAGAUUUGCCUGAAAUUCCAAAUACAGAGUGCUAUUCUUUCAUAGUACUUCAGCUUUCUUUUCAUAUUCAUUUUUCUAGGAACUCAAAGGAAAACCUGUCCUACCUGGAACCGAACAUUAUGAGGAUAUUCCAUCACUUUUAGACUGUUUUCCUACAGAGUUUUGGGAAUAUUUGAAGAUACUAGAACAGUUUGAUGGGAAGAUUCAUUGUGGUGAACUUUACAAUUCGUCACGAGUAAUAGAAAGUUUGUACCUUGAUUUAAUGGCCAAAGAGUAUGGUGGAUUGAAGCAAUGGGCUAUAGGUCCAUUCAAUCCUUUAGAGCCAAAAGAGAAGAGCAAAGACUCAAACAAACAUCACGAAUCCCUCGAUUGGCUUGACAAACAAGAACCAAACUCAGUUAUUUUUGUGUCAUUUGGGACAACUACUUCGUUGUGUGAUGAAGAAGUCAAAGAACUCGCGAGUGGUCUAGAGAAAAGCGAGCAAAAGUUCAUUUGGGUACUCAGAGAUGCUGAUAAAGGAGAUGUUUUUACAAGUGAAGUUAGAAAACUUCAACUUCCUGAAGGAUAUGAAGAUAAAAUAAAAGAAAGAGGGAUUAUAGUAAGAGAUUGGGCACCACAAUUGGAAAUAUUAGCACAUAAUUCAACAGGCGGUUUUAUGAGUCAUUGUGGAUGGAAUUCGUGUAUGGAAAGUAUUUCCUUUGGAGUUCCUAUAGCAGCCUGGCCAAUGCAUUCAGAUCAGCCAAGGAAUUCUCAACUUGUAACAAAGUAUUUGAAAAUUGGACUAACUGUUAGGCCAUGGACACGUCGAGAUGAAUUUGUUACAUCAGAAAUGGUUGAAAAUGCUGUGAAAACUUUGAUGGCUUCACCAGAGGGAGAUGAGAUGAGGAAAAGAGCAGUUGAUUUGAGUAAUGCUAUCAAGAAAUCAGUAACAGAUGGGGGCGUAAACUGUGCUGAGAUGGAUUCUUUCAUCGCUCACAUAACUCAAUGAGUGUUUAUUCAUAUUGGAAAUGUAGUGAAAUGCAUGCCACAGUCUAGUUAGCACAAGAGGUAUAAUAAUGUAAGAAAACACAUCAAUACACUAUAUAUAGAGAAUGCCAUGACAAUGAAAACAUACUAGAUUUUAUUGGAA